AACGUAGGUGGCAAGCGUUAUCCGGAUUUACUGGGCGUAAAGCGCGCGCAGGUGGUAACGUAAGUUGGGUGUGAAAUCUCCUGGCUCAACUGGGAGGGGUCGCUCAAGACUGCGUUGCUUGAGGUCGAGAGAGGGAUGCGGAAUUCCCGGUGUAGUGGUGGAAUGCGUAGAUAUCGGGAGGAACACCAGUGGCGAAAGCGGCAUCCUGGCUCGCACCUGACACUGAGGCGCGAAAGCGUGGGGAGCAAACGGG
rnacentral:rRNA from 1 species